AUCCGUAUCGGAUCGAAAUCAUCUACGUAGCGGGAAACCACCCAGCUACUUAAUUUUGCUGCGUCAGCAUCAAAACAGUAAUAAAAGAGACACGAAGCUUAAAUUACAUAAACACCCUUGCUCAUCUAAUAGUGCACCGGGUAACACAUACGGGUUACUAUUGUCAUUUAUGCAUCUAAUUGCCACGCCCUGUGUAUAUAUCACCAGUGGGAAUCUCCACCGCACGAGCUUCUGCUGUGUUUUCUUUUAUCAUCUCCGUAAUUGCUUUGAUUUCUCUGCCAACUUAUAUUGAAAUACUCAC
rnacentral:lncRNA from 1 species